AUAUUGGACAAUGGGGGCAACCCUGAUCCAGCCAUCCCGCGUGUGCGAUGAAGGCCUUCGGGUUGUAAAGCACUUUUGGCAGGGAAGAAAAGGCUCUGGUUAAUACCUGGAGCUGCUGACGGUACCUGCAGAAUAAGCACCGGCUAACUACGUGCCAGCAGCCGCGGUAAUACGAAGGGUGCAAGCGUUAAUCGGAAUUACUGGGCGUAAAGCGCGCGUAGGUGGUUUGUUAAGUUGGAAGUGAAAGCCCCGGGCUCAACCUUGGAACUGCAUUCUUAACUGCCGGGCUAGAGUAUGUCAGAGGGGGGUAGAAUUCCGCGUGUAGCAGUGAAAUGCGUAGAGAUGCGGAGGAAUACCGAUGGCGAAGGCAGCCCCCUGGGAUAAUACUGACGCUCAUGCACGAAAGCGUGGGGAGCAAAC
rnacentral:rRNA from 1 species